rnacentral:rRNA from 1 species
UGGGGAAUAUUGGACAAUGGGCGAAAGCCUGAUCCAGCCAUGCCGCGUGUGUGAAGAAGGUCUUCGGAUUGUAAAGCACUUUAAGUUGGGAGGAAGGGCAUUAACCUAAUACGUUAGUGUUUUGACGUUACCGACAGAAUAAGCACCGGCUAACUCUGUGCCAGCAGCCGCGGUAAUACAGAGGGUGCAAGCGUUAAUCGGAAUUACUGGGCGUAAAGCGCGCGUAGGUGGUUUGUUAAGUUUGAUGUGAAAUCCCCGGGCUCAACCUGGGAACUGCAUUCAAAACUGACUGACUAGAGUAUGGUAGAGGGUGGUGGAAUUUCCUGUGUAGCGGUGAAAUGCGUAGAUAUAGGAAGGAACACCAGUGGCGAAGGCGACCACCUAGACUAAUACUGACACUGAGGUGCGAAAGCGUGGGGAGCAAACA